rnacentral:tRNA from 1 species
AGUCCCGUAGUCUAGUGGUCAAGGAUUCUGGGUUUUGAUCCCAGCGACCGCGGUUCGAAUCCGCGCGGGGCUA